rnacentral:rRNA from 1 species
UACGGGGGGGGGCAAGCGUUGUUCGGAAUUACUGGGCGUAAAGGGCUCGUAGGCGGCCAACUAAGUCAGACGUGAAAUCCCCAGGCUCAACCUGGGAACUGCGUCUGAUACUGGAUGGCUUGAAUUCGGGAGAGGGAUGCAGAAUUCCAGGUGUAGCGGUGGAAUGCGCAGAUAUCAGGAGGAACACCGAUGGCGAAGGCAGCUCGCUGGGACGGUACUGACGCUGAGGCGCGAAAGCGUGGGGAGCGAACAGG